rnacentral:tRNA from 4 species
GGGCUGUUGGCACAAUUGGUAGCACGCUUCCGUGGCGCGGGAGAGGUCACCGGUUCGAUCCCGGUACAGUCCACCA